GCGCGAAACCUCUGCAAUGCGGGAAACCGUGACAGGGGGAUUCCAAGUGCUCAUGCAUUGCAUGGGCUGUUCUUUGGUCUAAGUAACCAGAGGAGUAAGGGCUGGGCAAGACCGGUGCCAGCCGCCGCGGUAAUACCGGCAGCUCGAGUGGUAGCCGCGAUUAUUGGGCCUAAAACGUUCGUAGCCGGAUAAGUAAGUCUUUGGUUAAAUCCUGCGACUUAACCGUGGGAAAUCUAGAGAUACUGCUUGUCUUGAGACCGGGAGAGGUUGGAGGUACUCCCGAGGGUAGGGGUGAAAUCCUGUAAUCCUGGGGGGACCACCUGUGGCGAAGGCGUCCAACUGGAACGGGUCUGACGGUGAGGGACGAAACCGUGGGGAGCGAGCCGGAUUAGAGACCCGA
rnacentral:rRNA from 1 species